rnacentral:rRNA from 1 species
UACGGGGGGGGCAAGCGUUGUUCGGAAUUACUGGGCGUAAAGGGCUCGUAGGCGGCCAACUAAGUCGGACGUGAAAUCCCUCGGCUUAACCGGGGAACUGCGUCCGAUACUGGAUGGCUUGAGGUUGGGAGAGGGAUGCGGAAUUCCAGGUGUAGCGGUGAAAUGCGUAGAUAUCUGGAGGAACACCGGUGGCGAAGGCGGCAUCCCGGACCAAUUCUGACGCUGAGUGAGCGAAAGCCAGGGGAGCAAACGGG